rnacentral:rRNA from 1 species
GACGAACGCUGGCGGCGUGCCUAAUACAUGCAAGUAGAACGCUGAAGGAGGAGCUUGCUUCUCCGGAUGAGUUGCGAACGGGUGAGUAACGCGUAGGUAACCUGCCUGGUAGCGGGGGAUAACUAUUGGAAACGAUAGCUAAUACCGCAUAAGAGUAGAUGUUGCAUGACAUUUGCUUAAAAGGUGCAAUUGCAUCACUACCAGAUGGACCUGCGUUGUAUUAGCUAGUUGGUGAGGUAACGGCUCACCAAGGCGACGAUACAUAGCCGACCUGAGAGGGUGAUCGGCCACACUGGGACUGAGACACGGCCCAGACUCCUUCGGGAGGCAGCAGUAGGGAAUCUUCGGCAAUGGACGGAAGUCUGACCGAGCAACGCCGCGUGAGUGAAGAAGGUUUUCGGAUCGUAAAGCUCUGUUGUAAGAGAAGAACGAGUGUGAGAGUGGAAAGUUCACACUGUGACGGUAUCUUACCAGAAAGAGACGGCUAACUACGUG